rnacentral:hammerhead_ribozyme from 1 species
GCAUUACUGAGGAGUCCCAUAAUAGGACGAAACGGCUUUCCAGUGC